GUUUGAUCCUGGCUCAGGACGAACGCUGGCGGCGUGCUUAACACAUGCAAGUCGAACGGAAAGGCCCUGCUUUUGUGGGGUGCUCGAGUGGCGAACGGGUGAGUAACACGUGAGUAACCUGCCCUUGACUUUGGGAUAACUUCAGGAAACUGGGGCUAAUACCGGAUAGGAGCUCCUGCUGCAUGGUGGGGGUUGGAAAGUUUCGGCGGUUGGGGAUGGACUCGCGGCUUAUCAGCUUGUUGGUGGGGUAGUGGCUUACCAAGGCUUUGACGGGUAGCCGGCCUGAGAGGGUGACCGGCCAC
rnacentral:rRNA from 17 species